AAUGAACGCUGGCGGCGUGCUUAACACAUGCAAGUCGUGCGCGAAAGCGGCUUCGGCCGCGUGUAGAGCGGCGAACGGGUGAGUAACACGUGGGACAACCUGCCCAAGAGUGGGGGAUAACCUGGGGAAACUCGGGCUAAUACCGCAUACGUUCGUGGGGCUUCGGCCCUGCGCAGAAAGGUGGCCUAUGCUUGCAAGCCACCGCUCCUGGAGGGGUCCGCGUCUGAUUAGCUAGUUGGCGGGGUAAUGGCCCACCAAGGCGACGAUCAGUAGCCGGCCUGAGAGGGUGAUCGGCCACACUGGAACUGAGACACGGUCCAGACUCCUACGGGAGGCAGCAGUGGGGAAUAUUGGACAAUGGGGGAAACCCUGAUCCAGCAACGCCGCGUGGAGGAUGAAGGUCUUCGGAUUGUAAACUCCUGUUAGGGGGGACGAAGGGAUGGUCGGCAAACAGCCGGCAAACUUGACGGUACCCCAGAGGAAGCCCCGGCUAACGUCUGUGCCAGCAGCCGCGGUAA
rnacentral:rRNA from 1 species